rnacentral:rRNA from 1 species
UACGUAGGUCCCGAGCGUUGUCCGGAUUUAUUGGGCGUAAAGCGAGCGCAGGUGGUUUAUUAAGUCUGGUGUAAAAGGCAGUGGCUCAACCAUUGUAUGCAUUGGAAACUGGUAGACUUGAGUGCAGGAGAGGAGAGUGGAAUUCCAUGUGUAGCGGUGAAAUGCGUAGAUAUAUGGAGGAACACCGGUGGCGAAAGCGGCUCUCUGGCCUGUAAUUGACAUUGAGGCUCGAAAGCGUGGGGAGCAAACAGG